UCAAACUUGGUCAUUUAGAGGAAGUAAAAGUCGUAACAAGGUCUCCGUAGGUGAACCUGCGGAGGGAUCAUUAACGAAUGACCAAACCUCAUAAACUCGUGGAACCUUGAAAAUGUGCUUCGGCGCCUGUCAUUGGCGUCGCCCUUAUGCAUUAUGGCCUUGUCUUUUGUCUGAGUGGAUUUGACUUGAAUAAUCAAAACUUUCAACAACGGAUCUCUUGGCACUCAAACGUGGUCAUUUAGAGGAAGUAAAAGUCGUAACAAGGUCUCCGUAGGUGAACCUGCGGAGGGAUCAUUAACGAAUGACCAAACCUCAUAAACUCGUGGAACCUUGAAAAUGUGCUUCGGCGCCUGUCAUUGGCGUCGCCCUUAUGCAUUAUGGCCUUGUCUUUUGUCUGAGUGGAUUUGACUUGAAUAAUCAAAACUUUCAACAACGGAUCUCUUGGCUCUCGCAUCGAUGAAGAACGCAGC
rnacentral:misc_RNA from 1 species